CUGGCAUAUUCAUCACUGUUUUUUAUUUGUAAUCACUGCACUAGCAUACUACCUCAGCCAUAAGCCCUUUUGCACACACACACACACACACACACACGCGCGUGCAACUCUGUUAUUCCUCUACUGUCUUGUUUUUCAACAAGUCUGUGCCAGCCCAACUCUUUUCCUGACUUGAUGCACAUUGGAUGUUCACAUGCUCUGCGCUCAUGUUUAGACAUAAUUUCCCUCUGUUAGACCCCUGUUUGGUCACAUAAUGAAUGGAGAAAAUUACUUGUCUCAUACAUCACUCCAGCAUGCUACACUGUCAUUCUUGCUAACCUCAGCAAUUACCCACACCAGCACCUGACACAUUUCACUUCUGAAAAACCUUCAAGACAUUUCACACAUUACAAUCCUGCAAGAAACUCUACGAUAUCAUGGAUUGAGAAUACACUCACUCAUUCACCUGAGCUUAUUUUACAGUAAAUUUUGAUAUGUGUACCUGCACUCAUGUAUACGCCCUCAUGCGCUAACUCAUUUUUCAUACUGCCCAGUCACUGACUGCACAUUUUGGCAUGCAAAGUGACACCGCUAUUUGGACCUAUCCAAAUAGAAAAUUGUCCCGUAUACACUUCAAUGAUCCUCUCUCCUGAUAUGCAAAAUUUUUCCUCAACCAUGCAUUUCUUUCUCUCCCUUGAUCGUUCGUUUCUUUUUCCUGUAGCCUCUCUGGAGGGGGAGUGAUGUAGUGGAUUCAUGCAGGCAUGGCGUGGAUUUGAUCCUCGGUCACCAAAUUUCACUUAACAGUUCAACCACACUUUUCUCAUAGUAAAACAAUAGUUAUUCUGUGUGUGAUAGCAGUUACAUUUACCAGAUGCCUUUGCUAAGCAGAAUAAUGUCUGCCACUUGGUCCUUCUAACCUCUUCUAUAAAACUUAAAGUUAAUG